GGGAGUUGGGAGAAAGCUCAGAAGCUUGUUGGGAAAAGCAGAAGGCAGAGAGGCAAGGGCACAGGGCUUCUGAGGGCUGUGACCAAGGGCAGACUCCAUCCACUUAACUUUGCCGGAGGCUGGUCCAGCUGCCCAGCUGCCCACCUCAGCAUGGGGAAUGGAAGGCAACAUGAUUGAUGAGCCUUUGGACAUAUCCAACUGCUUAGAGAUGCCCACACAUGCCAGCCAGCGCCCAGCCUUGGCAAGUGCAUCCAUUUCUCACCUGGUCCUGGCAGCAGACAGGGAGCAGCCAACCACAUGUCACUGGUAGAGAAAUCAAGGCAGGCACUGGGAGUGCAAUGACAGUUUGCAUCAGGAAGGUUUGCACCAGGAUGAUUUGCACCAGGAAGUUUUGCACUGGGACGGUUUGCACCAGGAAGGUUUGCACCACGACGAUUUGCACCAGGAAGUUUUGCAAUGGGACGGUUUGCACCAGGAAGGCAGGGGCAACAGAAUCACAAUUCCCUGAGUGCCAGUUGCACACUGGGCACUGUGCUAAGCACUGUAUACCCAUCCUCACUUUUAACUCACACAAGGUUGUUCUUAUUCUCCCCCAUUGCAGAUGAGACCCAGGGCCUAAGUUAAACAACUUGCCCAAAGUCCGGCACGCUUAGGAGGAGGCACACCUGACUUUUGACUCUACGUCUGCCUACUCCCUGAUCUAUGCUCUUUCUAGAAAGUGGACACUUGCCCAGAUAACACCACUUCUAUCCACUUCUAUCCCUUGGGGAGGCCCUACCCCAUUUCAGCUGGGCUCAGAGCUGGGCAAAUUCAGGCCUAGAGUGGAUUUCAACUCUGCCACCUGCCAAAGGGUAGACCCCAACAUGCCAUGUGUUUCUCCAGUGGGCAUCCUUGGGUUCCCUGGCUCCAUGCUUAGGAGGCUGGGCCCUCCACCUGACUUCUUCAAAGCCCUCCCCAAGAGCCAGCUCCUGCAGAGCCAAGAGCCGUGAGCCGAUCCUCCAAAAACCAGACCCACAGGACAAGAGGCCAGGAGGGAGCGGCCAGCUCUCGGUGAACACAGGUACAGGGCCUUGGCAGGCUCAGCGGUCAGGACGUCCAGGUCUCAUCUCCAGUCUGCCUCUUGCUAGUCACUUGACCUCCCGCAGCCUCAGUUUCCCCAUCUGUAAGAUGAUGACGACACCCUCCAGCUCCUUAGUAAAGGAAUGAUAAAAUGACAGUUCAGCGUCUGUAUUUUAAUACCUGCGUCAUUAUGUAAUCAUUUUGUGAUGCAGCCACCUCUGGCACAGAAAAAGUCACUCUGUGCCUA
rnacentral:lncRNA from 1 species